GACGAACGCUGGCGGCGUGCUUAACACAUGCAAGUCGAACGAUGAACCCGGAGCUUGCUCCGGCGGAUUAGUGGCGAACGGGUGAGUAACACGUGAGUAACCUGCCCUCGACUCUGGGAUAACUCCGGGAAACCGGGGCUAAUACCGGAUAUGACCUCCUUGGGCAUCCUUGGAGGUGGAAAGUUUUUCGGUGAGGGAUGGGCCCGCGGCCUAUCAGCUUGUUGGUGAGGUAGUGGCUCACCAAGGCGACGACGGGUAGCCGGCCUGAGAGGGCGACCGGCCACACUGGGACUGAGACACGGCCCAGACUCCUACGGGAGGCAGCAGUGGGGAAUAUUGCGCAAUGGGCGAAAGCCUGACGCAGCAACGCCGCGUGCGGGAUGACGGCCUUCGGGUUGUAAACCGCUUUCAGCAGGGAAAAAGCCGCAAGGUGACGGUACCUGCAGAAGAAGCACCGGCUAACUACGUGCCAGCCGCCGCAGUAA
rnacentral:rRNA from 1 species